rnacentral:rRNA from 1 species
AACGAACGCUGGCGGCGUGCCUAACACAUGCAAGUCGUACGAGAAACACGUCCUUCGGGAUGUGGAGUAAAGUGGCGCACGGGUGAGUAACACGUGGGUAACCUGCCUUGGGGAUCGGGAUAACUGGCCGAAAGGCCCGCUAAUACCGGAUGAGACCACAUGAGCUACGGCUCAAGGGGUCAAAGUCGGCCUCUCAACGAAGCCGGCACCACAAGAUGGGCCCGCGGACCAUUAGCUAGUUGGUAGGGUAACGGCCUACCAAGGCUGAGAUGGUUAGCUGGUCUGGGAGGAUGAUCAGCCACACUGGAACUGAGAUACGGUCCAGACUCCUACGGGAGGCAGCAGUGAGGAAUAUUGCGCAAUGGAGGAAACUCUGACGCAGCAACGCCGCGUGGGUGAAGAAGGCUUUCGGGUUGUAAAGCCCUGUCAGGCGGGAAGAAACUUCCGCAGGUGAAUAGUCUGUGGAACUGACGGCACCGCCAAAGGAAGCACCGGCUAACUCCGUGCCAGCCGCCGCGGUAAGAC